UACGUAGGGUGCAAGCGUUGUCCGGAAUUAUUGGGCGUAAAGAGCUCGUAGGCGGUCUGUUGCGUCGGCUGGGAAAACCCGGGGCUCAACUCCGGGCCUGCAGCCGAUACGGGCAGACUAGAGUUCGGCAGGGGAGACUGGAAUUCCUGGUGUAGCGGUGAAAUGCGCAGAUAUCAGGAGGAACACCGGUGGCGAAGGCGGGUCUCUGGGCCGAUACUGACGCUGAGGAUCGAAAUCGUGGGGAGCGAACAGG
rnacentral:rRNA from 1 species